UACGAGGGGAGCAAGCGUUGUUCGGAUUUACUGGGCGUAAAGGGCGCGUAGGCGGCUCUACAAGUCACUUGUGAAAUCUCCGGGCUUAACUCGGAACGGUCAAGUGAUACUGUCGAGCUAGAGUACAGAAGGGGCAACUGGAAUUCUCGGUGUAGUGGUGAAAUGCGUAGAUAUCGAGAGGAACACCUGCGGCGAAGGCGGGUUGCUGGGCCGACACUGACGCUGAGGCGCGAAAGCUAGGGGAGCGAACGGG
rnacentral:rRNA from 1 species